rnacentral:rRNA from 1 species
GUUUGAUCAUGGCUCAGAUUGAACGCUGGCGGCAUGCCUUACACAUGCAAGUCGAACGGUAACAGGUCUUCGGAUGCUGACGAGUGGCGAACGGGUGAGUAAUAUAUCGGAACGUACCCAAGAGUGGGGGAUAACGUAGCGAAAGUUACGCUAAUACCGCAUACGAUCCAAGGAUGAAAGCAGGGGAUCUUCGGACCUUGUGCUCCUGGAGCGGCCGAUAUCUGUUUAGCUAGUUGGUGAGGUAAAGGCUCACCAAGGCGACGAUCAGUAGCUGGUCUGAGAGGAUGAUCAGCCACACUGGGACUGAGACACGGCCCAGACUCCUACGGGAGGCAGCAGUGGGGAAUAUUGGACAAUGGGCGAAAGCCUGAUCCAGCCAUGCCGCGUGUGUGAAGAAGGUCUUCGGAUUGUAAAGCACUUUAAGUUGGGAGGAAGGGCAUUAACCUAAUACGUUAGUGUUUUGACGUUACCGACAGAAUAAGCACCGGCUAACUCUGUGCCAGCAGCCGCGGUAAUACAGAGGGUGCAAGCGUUAAUCGGAAUUACUGGGCGUAAAGCGCGCGUAGGUGGUUUGUUAAGUUGGAUGUGAAAGCCCCGGGCUCAACCUGGGAACUGCAUCCAAAACUGGCAAGCUAGAGUACGGUAGAGGGUGGUGGAAUUUCCUGUGUAGCGGUGAAAUGCGUAGAUAUAGGAAGGAACACCAGUGGCGAAGGCGACCACCUGGACUGAUACUGACACUGAUGUGCGAAAGC